GACGAACGCUGGCGGCGUGCUUAACACAUGCAAGUCGAACGAAGAGCGAUGGAAGCUUGCUUCUACCAAUCUUAGUGGCGAACGGGUGAGUAACGCGUAAUCAACCUGCCCUUCAGAGGGGGACAACAGUUGGAAACGACUGCUAAUACCGCAUACGAUCUAAUCUCGGCAUCGAGGAUAGAUGAAAGGUGGCCUCUACAUGUAAGCUAUCACUGAAGGAGGGGAUUGCGUCUGAUUAGCUAGUUGGAGGGGUAACGGCCCACCAAGGCGAUGAUCAGUAGCCGGUCUGAGAGGAUGAACGGCCACAUUGGGACUGAGACACGGCCCAGACUCCUACGGGAGGCAGCAGUGGGGAAUCUUCCGCAAUGGACGAAAGUCUGACGGAGCAACGCCGCGUGAGUGAUGACGGCCUUCGGGUUGUAAAGCUCUGUUAAUCGGGACGAAAGGCCUUCUUGCGAAUAGUGA
rnacentral:rRNA from 1 species